rnacentral:rRNA from 1 species
GUGGGGAAUCUUGCGCAAUGGGCGAAAGCCUGACGCAGCCAUGCUGCGUGAAUGAUGAAGGUCUUAGGAUUGUAAAAUUCUUUCACCGGGGACGAUAAUGACGGUACCCGGAGAAGAAGCCCCGGCUAACUUCGUGCCAGCAGCCGCGGUAAUACGAAGGGGGCUAGCGUUGCUCGGAAUUACUGGGCGUAAAGGGCGCGUAGGCGGACAGUUUAGUCAGAGGUGAAAGCCCAGGGCUCAACCUUGGAAUUGCCUUUGAUACUGGCUGUCUUGAGUACGGGAGAGGUGAGUGGAACUCCGAGUGUAGAGGUGAAAUUCGUAGAUAUUCGGAAGAACACCAGUGGCGAAGGCGACUCACUGGCCCGUUACUGACGCUGAGGCGCGAAAGCGUGGGGAGCAAACAGGAUUAGAAACCCGAGUAGUCC